GAUUAACGCUAGCGGCAGGCAUAAUACAUGCAAGUUGAACGGCAGCACAGGUAGCAAUACUGGGUGGCGAGUGGCGCACGGGUGCGUAACACGUAUGCAACCUACCCUAUACAGGCGAAUAACCUUUAGAAAUGAGGGCUAAUACGCCGUAGUAUUACAGAUGGGCAUCUAUUUGUAAUUAAAGAUUUAUCGGUAUAGGAUGGGCAUGCGUCCCAUUAGUUAGUUGGUAAGGUAACGGCUUACCAAGACGAUGAUGGGUAGGGGAUCUGAGAGGACUUACCACCACACUGGUACUGAGACACGGACCAGACUCCUACGGGAGGCAGCAGUAAGGAAUAUUGGGCAAUGGCCGCGAGGCUGACCCAGCCAUGCCGAGUGCAGGAAGACGGCCUUAUGGGUUGUAAACUGCUUUUAUACGGGAAUAAUAGAGUGUACGCGUACAUUUAUGCAAGUAUCGUAUGAAUAAGCAUCGGCUAACUCCGUG
rnacentral:rRNA from 1 species